rnacentral:rRNA from 1 species
UACGAAGGGGACUAGCGUUGUUCGGAAUCACUGGGCGUAAAGCGCACGUAGGCGGAUAUGUCAGUCAGGGGUGAAAUCCCACGGCUCAACCGUGGAAGUGCACUCGAAACUGCAGGGCUAGAGUCCUGGAGAGGAAGGUGGAAUGUUUGGUGUAGAGGUGAAAUUCGUAGAUAUCAAGCGGAACACCGGUGGCGAAGGCGGCCUUCUGGACAGUGACUGACGCUGAGACGCGAAAGCGUGGGGAGCAAACAGG